AGGGUUUGAUCAUGGCUCAGGACGAACGCUUGCGGCGUGCCUAAGAAAUGCAAGUCGAACGGACACUUUCCUUCGGGAGGGUGUCAGUGGCGAACGGUCGCGUAACACGUAGGCAACCUGCCCAAAAGUGGGGGAUAACAGCCCGAAAGGGUUGCUAAUACCGCAUGUGGCCAACAGAUCGCAUGGUUUGUUGUCCAAAGGCUUUCAGCAAUGGGAGUCGCUUUUGGAUGGGCUUGCGGCCUAUCAGGUAGUUGGUGGGGUAAUGGCCUACCAAGCCGUUGACGGGUAGCUGGUCUGAGAGGACGAUCAGCCGGAUUGGGACUGAGAUACGGCCCAGACUCCUACGGGGGGCAGCAAUUAGGAAUCUUGCGCAAUGGGGGCAACCCUGACGCAGCGACGCCGCAUGGGGGGAGGAAGGCCUUCGGGGUCGUAAACCCCUUUUAACGGGGGAAAAUGAAUGUU
rnacentral:rRNA from 1 species